rnacentral:rRNA from 1 species
AGCGAACGCUGGCGGCAGGCUUAACACAUGCAAGUCGAGCGCUCGUAGCAAUACGGGAGCGGCAGACGGGUGAGUAACACGUGGGAACGUACCUUUUGGUUCGGAACAACACAGGGAAACUUGUGCUAAUACCGGAUAAGCCCUUACGGGGAAAGAUUUAUCGCCGAAAGAUCGGCCCGCGUCUGAUUAGCUAGUUGGUGAGGUAAUGGCUCACCAAGGCGACGAUCAGUAGCUGGUCUGAGAGGAUGAUCAGCCACAUUGGGACUGAGACACGGCCCAAACUCCUACGGGAGGCAGCAGUGGGGAAUAUUGGACAAUGGGCGCAAGCCUGAUCCAGCCAUGCCGCGUGAGUGAUGAAGGCCUUAGGGUCGUAAAGCUCUUUUGUGCGGGAAGAUAAUGACUGUACCGCAAGAAUAAGCCCCGGCUAACUUCGUGCCAGCCGCCGCUGUAAC